GCCGGUAUAGCUCAGUUGGUAGAGCAGCUGAUUUGUAAUCAGCAGGUCGGCAGUUCGAGCCUCCUGGCCGGCU
rnacentral:tRNA from 1 species